rnacentral:rRNA from 1 species
UACAGUGGGGUGCAAACGUUUGCUCGGAAUUAUUGGGCGUAAAGCGCACGUAGGUGGUCUGUUAUGAUCAGAUGUGAAGGCCCUCGGCUUAACUGAGGAAGUGCACCUGAAACUGGCAGGCUUGAGUACGAAAGAGGGUCGCGGAAUUCCCGGUGUAGAGGUGAAAUUCGUAGAUAUCGGGAGGAACACCGGUGGCGAAGGCGGCGACCUGGUUCGAUACUGACACUGAGGUGCGAAAGCGUGGG